rnacentral:rRNA from 1 species
GAUGAACGCUGGCGGCGUGCUUAACACAUGCAAGUCGAACGGGAAUUACUUUAUUGAAACUUCGGUCGAUAUGAUUUAAUUCUAGUGGCGGACGGGUGAGUAACGCGUGGGUAACCUGCCUUAUACAGGGGGAUAACAGUCAGAAAUGACUGCUAAUACCGCAUAAGCGCACAGAGCUGCAUGGCUCGGUGUGAAAAACUCCGGUGGUAUAAGAUGGACCCGUGUUGGAUUAGCUAGUUGGUGAGGUAACGGCCCACCAAGGCGACGAUCCAUAGCCGGCCUGAGAGGGUGAACGGCCACAUUGGGACUGAGACACGGCCCAGACUCCUACGGGAGGCAGCAGUGGGGAAUAUUGCACAAUGGGGGAAACCCUGAUGCAGCGACGCCGCGUGAAGGAAGAAGUAUCUCGGUAUGUAAACUUCUAUCAGCAGGGAAGAAAAUGACGGUAC